CAGUAGCCGCGGGAAAACGAAGGGGGCUAGCGUUGUUCGGAUUUACUGGGCGUAAAGCGCACGUAGGCGGAUCGAUCAGUCAGGGGUGAAAUCCCAGAGCUCAACUCUGGAACUGCCUUUGAUACUGUCGAUCUGGAGUAUGGAAGAGGUGAGUGGAAUUCCGAGUGUAGAGGUGAAAUUCGUAGAUAUUCGGAGGAACACCAGUGGCGAAGGCGGCUCACUGGUCCAUUACUGACGCUGAGGUGCGAAAGCGUGGGGAGCAAACAGGAUUAGAUACCCCAGUAGUCCCUGUCUCUUAUAC
rnacentral:rRNA from 1 species